rnacentral:rRNA from 1 species
CAGCAGCCGCGGUAAUACGAAGGGGGCUAGCGUUGCUCGGAAUGACUGGGCGUAAAGGGCGCGUAGGCGGUUUGUUAAGACAGAUGUGAAAUCCCCGGGCUCAACCUGGGAACUGCAUUUGUGACUGGCAAGCUAGAGUGUGGCAGAGGGGGGUGGAAUUCCGCGUGUAGCAGUGAAAUGCGUAGAUAUGCGGAGGAACACCGAUGGCGAAGGCAGCCCCCUGGGCCAACACUGACGCUCAUGCACGAAAGCGUGGGGAGCAAACAGGAUUAGAGACCCCUGUAGUCCCUGUCUCUUAUAC